GACGAACGCUGGCGGCGUGCUUAACACAUGCAAGUCGAACGAAAAGAGGGAAAGAGCUUGCUCUUUCCGGAAUUGAGUGGCAAACGGGUGAGUAACACGUAAACAACCUGCCUUCAGGAUGGGGACAACAGACGGAAACGACUGCUAAUACCGACUAAGUUCCAAGGGCCGCAUGGCCCAUAGAAGAAAAGGUGGCCUCUACCUGUAAGCUAUCGCCUGAAGUGGGGUUUGCGUCUGAUUAGCUGGUUGGAGGGGUAACGGCCCACCAAGGCGACGAUCAGUAGCCGGUCUGAGAGGAUGAACGGCCACACUGGAACUGAGACACGGUCCAGACUCCUACGGGAGGCAGCAGUGGGGAAUCUUCCGCAAUGGGCGAAAGCCUGACGGAGCAACGCCGCGUGAGUGAUGACGGCCUUCGGGUUGUAAAACUCUGUGAUCCGGGACGAAAAGGCAGAGUGCGAAGAACAAACUGCAUUGACGGUACCGGAAAAGCAAGCCACGGCUAACUACGUG
rnacentral:rRNA from 1 species